rnacentral:rRNA from 1 species
CACGUAGGGCGCGAGCGUUGUCCGGAAUUAUUGGGCGUAAAGAGCUCGUAGGCGGCCUGUUGCGUCCGCUGUGAAAGCCCGGGGCUUAACCCCGGGUCGGCAGUGGAUACGGGCAGGCUAGAGGUAGGUAGGGGAGAAUGGAAUUCCGGUGUAGCGGUGAAAUGCGCAGAUAUCGGGAGGAACACCGGUGGCGAAGGCGGUUCUCUGGGCCUUACCUGACGCUGAGGAGCGAAAGCGUGGGAGCGAA